GAUGAACGCUAGCGGCAGGCCUAACACAUGCAAGUCGAGGGAGAAGCCCUUUCGGGGGCAGAAACCGGCGCACGGGUGCGUAACGCGUAUGCAACCUACCUUUCACAGGGGGAUAGCCCGAAGAAAUUUGGAUUAAUACCCCAUAAUAUUAUUGGAUGGCAUCAUUUGAUAAUUAAAACUGCGGUGGUGAAAGAUGGGCAUGCGUCCUAUUAGCUAGUUGGAGUGGUAACGGCACCCCAAGGCUACGAUAGGUAGGGGUCCUGAGAGGGAGAUCCCCCACACUGGUACUGAGACAGGGACCAGACUCCUACGGGAGGCAGCAGUGAGGAAUAUUGGUCAAUGGUCGGAAGACUGAACCAGCCAUGCCGCGUGCAGGAAGAAUGCCUUAUGGGUUGUAAACUGCUUUUAUAUGGGAAGAAUAAGGCGUACGUGUACGUUGAUGACGGACCAUAUGAAUAAGCUUCGC
rnacentral:rRNA from 1 species